rnacentral:rRNA from 1 species
GACGAACGCUGGCGGCGUGCUUAACACAUGCAAGUCGAACGCUGAAGCUCAGCUUUUGUUGGGUGGAUGAGUGGCGAACGGGUGAGUAACACGUGAGUAACCUGCCUCCUUCUUUGGGAUAACGCCCGGAAACGGGUGCUAAUACUGGAUAUUCACUGGUCUUCGCAUGGGGGUUGGUGGAAAGGGUUUUUCUGGUGGGGGAUGGGCUCGCGGCCUAUCAGCUUGUUGGUGGGGUGAUGGCCUACCAAGGCUUAGACGGGUAGCCGGCCUGAGAGGGUGACCGGUCACAUUGGGACUGAGAUACGGCCCAGACUCCUACGGGAGGCAGCAGUGGGGAAUAUUGCACAAUGGGCGCAAGCCUGAUGCAGCGACGCCGCGUGAGGGAUGGAGGCCUUCGGGUUGUGAACCUCUUUCGCUCAUGGUCAAGCCGCAACAAUGGUUGUGGUGAGGGUAGUGGGUAAAGAAGCGCCGGCUAACUACGUG